rnacentral:lncRNA from 1 species
GUUGAAUUUGGGUGCGUGACGUAACGGGGAAAAUAAGGGAACGAUUAUGUCUGCCAGAGAGGAGAAUGGCUGGGAGGGUUGCUAGGCUGGGUGAAGCGCAGGUCCUUGAGAAACUUCGGGAGCGCAACGGCCACCACCGCGUGUAUGUGUGGCGUCUCUCGCGAUCCCCUGCAUUCCCGCCCUACGGCAGUAGUUCUGGCCAUGAUUCCGAGCAGGGACAAGGCCCAGGAGCCCUCACUCUAACCACGAAGCUCUGUGGCCGACACCGCAGCAGUGCACAACCACGUCAGGGGACGAGUUGGGGUUAGACUGCGUGAAACCGGGACCGCAAAGUUCCUGUGCGGAACAGGGGCCGUUAAUGCGGCAGAUGCAUUCCACCUCAGUCCCUCCCUUUCUGACUCUUCCCCUCUCUGCGAGCCAACGUGCGUGUUCUCUCUCUCUCUCUCUCUCUCUCUCUCUCUCUUACGGAAGGAGCUCGGUGCCCCUAUCAUUCUACAGAACCUGGGAACCGGCAUGGCGAUUUUGUCAUUUCUCCUACAUACUAUUAUCGUUCGGGCCGUUGGAGCUGUGUUUGACGACCUGGUGAUUAAGAAGAACUGUUCGGAGCUGAGGAAGGGAGAGCGGUACCACAUCGCGACUGCAGAGAUACUGGGGUGGAGUCCAGACUCUUGCGAUCAGGAGUGGAACCUGCAGUUUACCCUGAUGAAACAACGGAAGAAAAAACAUCACUGA